rnacentral:ncRNA from 1 species
AGCCUUUGCACCCCCCGGGGGUCCCCGACUAUAACUGGGACAGCGAGUCGCCUCGGCGGCAACAUGAUCGAAUUGCGGGGACGUCCUAAAGCUCUCACCACUCCCCUCCAUCAGAAACGAUGGGGGCUCGUCACAUCGUGAGAGAUGUACAAUGGGCGAUCCGCAGCGAAGCCCCGUCAGCCUACCCUGUAGGCCCGGGGACCGUUCACAGACUAGGUGGUCAUGGGCACCGCGGUGCUUAAGAUAUAGUCGGCCAGCUGGGGAAACCUGACUGCUAGCGCGUUCGGUAGGUGAACCUGCGGAAGGAUCAUUA